rnacentral:rRNA from 1 species
GAUGAACGCUGGCGGCGUGCUUAACACAUGCAAGUUGAACGGUGAAGCCAAGCUUGCUUGGUGGAUCAGUGGCGAACGGGUGAGUAACACGUGAGCAACCUGCCCUGGACUCUGGGAUAAGCGCUGGAAACGGCGUCUAAUACUGGAUAUGAGACGUGAUCGCAUGGUCGUGUUUGGAAAGAUUUUUCGGUCUGGGAUGGGCUCGCGGCCUAUCAGCUUGUUGGUGAGGUAAUGGCUCACCAAGGCGUCGACGGGUAGCCGGCCUGAGAGGGUGACCGGCCACACUGGGACUGAGACACGGCCCAGACUCCUACGGGAGGCAGCAGUGGGGAAUAUUGCACAAUGGGCGGAAGCCUGAUGCAGCAACGCCGCGUGAGGGAUGACGGCCUUCGGGUUGUAAACCUCUUUUAGCAGGGAAGAAGCGAAAGUGACGGUACCUGCAGAAAAAGCGCCGGCUAACUACGUGCCAGCAGCCGCGGUAAUACGUAGGGCGCAAGCGUUAUCCGGAAUUAUUGGGCGUAAAGAGCUCGUAGGCGGUUUGUCGCGUCUGCUGUGAAUCCCGAGGCUCAACCUCGGGUCUGCAGUGGGUACGGGCAGACUAGAGUGCGGUAGGGGAGAUUGGAAUUCCUGGUGUAGCGGUGGAAUGCGCAGAUAUCAGGAGGAACACCGAUGGCGAAGGCAGAUCUCUGGGCCGUAACUGACGCUGAGGAGCGAAAGGGUGGGGAGCAAACAGGCUUAGAUACCCUGGUAGUCCACCCCGUAAACGUUGGGAACUAGUUGUGGGGACCAUUCCACGGUUUCCGUGACGCAGCUAACGCAUUAAGUUCCCCGCCUGGGGAGUACGGCCGCAAGGCUAAAACUCAAAGGAAUUGACGGGGACCCGCACAAGCGGCGGAGCAUGCGGAUUAAUUCGAUGCAACGCGAAGAACCUUACCAAGGCUUGACAUAUACGAGAACGGGCCAGAAAUGGUCAACUCUUUGGACACUCGUAAACAGGUGGUGCAUGGUUGUCGUCAGCUCGUGUCGUGAGAUGUUGGGUUAAGUCCCGCAACGAGCGCAACCCUCGUUCUAUGUUGCCAGCACGUAAUGGUGGGAACUCAUGGGAUACUGCCGGGGUCAACUCGGAGGAAGGUGGGGAUGACGUCAAAUCAUCAUGCCCCUUAUGUCUUGGGCUUCACGCAUGCUACAAUGGCCGGUACAAAGGGCUGCAAUACCGUGAGGUGGAGCGAAUCCCAAAAAGCCGGUCCCAGUUCGGAUUGAGGUCUGCAACUCGACCUCAUGAAGUCGGAGUCGCUAGUAAUCGCAGAUCAGCAACGCUGCGGUGAAUACGUUCCCGGGUCU